rnacentral:rRNA from 1 species
UCGACGAUGAACCCAGCUUGCUGGGUGGAUUAGUGGCGAACGGGUGAGUAACACGUGGGUGAUCUGCCCUGCACUUCGGGAUAAGCCUGGGAAACUGGGUCUAAUACCGGAUAUGACCAAAGGCUGCAUGGUUUUUGGUGGAAAGUUUUUCGGUGCAGGAUGAGCCCGCGGCCUAUCAGCUUGUUGGUGGGGUAAUGGCCUACCAAGGCGACGACGGGUAGCCGGCCUGAGAGGGCGACCGGCCACACUGGGACUGAGACACGGCCCAGACUCCUACGGGAGGCAGCAGUGGGGAAUAUUGCACAAUGGGCGAAAGCCUGAUGCAGCGACGCCGCGUGAGGGAUGACGGCCUUCGGGUUGUAAACCUCUUUCACCAGGGACGAAGCGCAAGUGACGGUACCUGGAGAAGAAGCACCGGCCAACUACGUGCCAGCAGCCGCGGUAAUACGUAGGGUGCGAGCGUUGUCCGGAAUUACUGGGCGUAAAGAGCUCGUAGGCGGUUUGUCGCGUCGUCUGUGAAAUCCCGCAGCUCAACUGCGGGCUUGCAGGCGAUACGGGCAAACUCGAGUACUGCAGGGGAGACUGGAAUUCCUGGUGUAGCGGUGAAAUGCGCAGAUAUCAGGAGGAACACCGGUGGCGAAGGCGGGUCUCUGGGCAGUAACUGACGCUGAGGAGCGAAAGCGUGGGUAGCGAACAGGAUUAGAUACCCUGGUAGUCCACGCCGUANACAGUGGGCGCUAGGUGUGGGUUUNCUUCCACGGGAUCCGUGCCGU